UUCAAGUUAGCUCAAAGAUUGAGUCUUUGACUUCAGAUUAGUAGCUUAAAGAUUAAGUCUUUGACUUGAAA